rnacentral:rRNA from 1 species
UGGUGGAGUGAUUUGUCUGGUUAAUUCCGUUAACGAACGAGACCUCCGCGUGCUAAAUAGUUCUGCUUACAAUUUUUGUUAGGUAAGGACUUCUUAGAGGGACUUUUGGUCGACUAGCCAAAGGAAGUUGGAGGCAAUAACA